GGUCUCUAGACAAACUCUAUAACUUCGCCGACUGCUCUGGCCUCCACCUGAUCUUUGCGCUGAAUGCCCUGCGCCGAAAUCCAGAUAACUCCUGGAACAGCUCCAAUGCGCUCAGCCUGCUGAAGUACAGUGCCAGCAAGAAAUACAACAUCUCCUGGGAGCUGGGCAACGAGCCCAACAACUAUCGGACAUUGACUGGCCGCACCAUGAAUGGCAGUCAGCUGGGGAAGGACUAUAUCCAGCUGAAGAGUCUGCUGCAGCUUAUCCGCACCUACGCCAGAACCAACCUCUAUGGGCCCAGCAUUGGACGGCCCAGAAAGAACGUCAUUGCUCUCCUGGAGGGGUUCAUGAAGGUGGCUGGCCGCACAGUGGAUGCUGUUACCUGGCAACAGUAGGU